UUUUGGAAGAGCAGUUUCUGUCCUUGAUAUAUGUAAGCUUUUUACCGAGCUGCCUCUUCUGUCUGAAUUCAUUAUGCUGUGGAGAUCUGAGACCACUCAUUGCUUAGAUGCUCCGGUUUCCUCCCACUUCCCAGAUGUGCAGGUUGAUGGAUUCAUUGGCCACAGUAAAUUGCCCCCAGAUCUUUGGGGUGGAGUACUGAACAAAGGUCAGCUGCUUUCCUAGAAAGCCUGGCAACCAUGGGAAGGCCGUAGUAGAGAGUUCUUCGGAAUGUUGAGCACUUCUCCGAAUAACCGUGGCUCGAGUGAACAAUUGGAGCUCCCCUCGCACGCCCCCAGGGUGUUUGAUCCAGAAUAUAGAGGCACCUUGCCAUCACGGGUCAAUAUUGAUGAGAUGCAGGGUUAAAUAUACUGAGAUGCUUACUCUUUAACAAACACCGAAAUCAGAACUGUCACAAGAAUCAAUAGAAAUACUCUGAAUACACAAACGCAUCUCUACGCUGGCAGCAAAACUGUGCUUUGGAAUAUCGUGUGCUUCACAAAAUGUUGAGUUUUAAUAUUUUAAAUCGUGCUGCAAAGAGCUAACAAUAAAAUGUGUAUUUUUUAACCAUAUUUGUGUAAGAUAUCGUAAUGCAGGACCGCGUAAACUGGACAGUUCUCUGUUAUUUGUUUCGCACGAAUUCACAUCAAGGCUAGA